rnacentral:rRNA from 1 species
ACUCCAGAGAUGGACCGUUCCUUCGGGGACAAGGUGACAGGUGGUGCAUGGUUGUCGUCAGCUCGUGUCGUGAGAUGUUGGGAAAAGUCCCGCAACGAGCGCAACCCUUAUUACUAGUUGCCAGCAUUCAGUUGGGCACUCUAGUGAGACUGCCGGUGACAAACCGGAGGAAGGUGGGGAUGACGUCAAAUCAUCAUGCCCCUUAUGACCUGGGCUACACACGUGCUACAAUGGCGUAUACAACGAGUUGCCAACCCGCGAGGGUGAGCUAAUCUCUUAAAGUACGUCUCAGUUCGGAUUGUAGGCUGCAACUCGCCUACAUGAAGUCGGAAUCGCUAGUAAUCGCGGAUCAGCACGCCGCGGUGAAUACGUUCCCGGGUCUUGUACAC